rnacentral:rRNA from 1 species
GAUGAACGCUGGCGGCAUGCCUAAUACAUGCAAGUCGAACGAGAGGAAGGAAAGCUUGCUUUUCUGAAUCUAGUGGCGAACGGGUGAGUAACACGUAGGUAACCUGCCCAUGUGCCCGGGAUAACUUCUGGAAACGGAUGCUAAAACCGGAUAGGUAGCAGACAAGCAUUUGACUGCUAUUAAAGUGGCUAAGGCCAUGAACAUGGAUGGACCUGCGGUGCAUUAGCUAGUUGGUGAGGUAACGGCCCACCAAGGCGACGAUGCAUAGCCGGCCUGAGAGGGCGGACGGCCACAUUGGGGCUGAGACACGGCCCAAACUCCUACGGGAGGCAGCAGUAGGGAAUUUUCGUCAAUGGGGGGAACCCUGAACGAGCAAUGCCGCGUGAGUGAGGAAGGUCUUCGGAUCGUAAAGCUCUGUUGUAAGAGAAAAACGACAUUCAUAGGGAAUGAUGAGUGAGUGAUGGUAUCUAACCAGAAAGCCACGGCUAACUACGUGCCAGCCGCCGCAGUAA